rnacentral:rRNA from 1 species
UACGAAGGGGGCUAGCGUUGCUCGGAAUUACUGGGCGUAAAGGGCGCGUAGGCGGAUAGUUCAGUCAGAGGUGAAAGCCCAGGGCUCAACCUUGGAACUGCCUUUGAUACUGGCUAUCUUGAGUUUGGGAGAGGUAUGUGGAACUCCGAGUGUAGAGGUGAAAUUCGUAGAUAUUCGGAAGAACACCAGUGGCGAAGGCGACAUGCUGGCCCAAUACUGACGCUGAGGCUCGAAAGCGUGGGGAGCAAACAGG